UAUACAAUUUUUAAACAUUUAUUGCUAAUGGAAAACCUUACCAAUCAAGAAUUGGCGGAUAUGCAUUUGGCAUACGGAGCAACAAACUGCAAUGCACGAGCAGCAUCGCGGUUGUAUCAUGAACGUUAUCCCGAACGACAGCAUCCUGGAUACAAAAAGUUUAUUGCGAUUCAUGAUACUGGUGUUGCUCGAACCGUAAGAACGGUUGAAUUUGAAGAAGAGGUGCUUCAGCGAGUUGCCGAUGAACCAUCAAAUAGCACACUUGACGCCGUUAUUCGUCUUAAUUCCAUAGUUAGGUCGUGGCCUAACUUCUUAUCCGGGUAUUUCUGGAUCACUAGAGAGCGGUGAUUGUCGAUUAGAACUACCAGGAUGAUGCCCAACGUGUCUCAGGAAAAGUAACCGAGAUGCUGUUUAUUCGAGUCAUUGCAAAAACACGACCUAGAAAAAAUGUGUUGCAAUAUGAUUAAACCAUCAACAUGAGCCGACCUUAUUAUGCAAUAUAAUUAAUACCACUUAUUAUUGUUAUUUAAGAAUUCAAUGGAAGCACUAUUAAAAAUGUGUAUAUAUUAUGUAUUAUUUUUUAAAUUUAAUUUAUCUAUAUAUAGCUUCUUUGGUCCAAUAAAGAUUAUUAUUAUUAUUAUUAUUA